AACGCUAGCUACAGGCUUAACACAUGCAAGUCGCGGGGUCUGUUUCGGCAGACGACCGGCGCACCCCCUCUCUUUGGCAUAGCCUUUCGAAAGAGAGAUUAAUUCCGAAUAACGUAGUAACGUUGCCUGAUGAUACUACGAAAGCUCCGGCGGAGAGGGAUGGGGAUGCGUUCCAUUAGUUAGUAGGCGGGGUAACGGCCCACCUAGCCGACGAUGGAUAGGGGUUCUGAGAGGAAGGUCCCCCACAUUGAACUGAGACACGGUCCAAACUCCUACGGGAGGCAGCAGUGAGGAAUAUUGGUCAAUGGACGAAAGUCUGAACCAGCCCAAGUAGCGUGAAGGAUGACUGCCCUAUGGGUUGUAAACUUCUUUUGUCGUGGAACAAAACCUGCCACGUGUGGCAGUUUGCGUGUACACGUUGAAUAAGCAUCGGCUAACUCCGUGCCAGCAGCGCGGUAAUACGGAGGAUGCGAGCGUUAUCCGGAUUUAUUGGGUUUAAAGGGAGCGUAGGUGGUUUAUUAAGCAAGUUGUGAAAUACUGCCGCUCAACGGCAGCCGUGCAGUUUGAACUGGUAGACUUGAGUGUACAAGAGGAAAGUGGAAUUCGUGGUGUAGCGGUGAAAUGUUUAGAUAUCACGAAGAACUCCGAUUG
rnacentral:rRNA from 1 species